GCUUCGGUGACCUAGUGGUUAGAGCCUCCGCCUCGGAUGCGGGAGGUCGCGGGUUCGAAACUCGGCCGAGUCA